CUUGCUUCUCUUAUCUUGUUCUUUGUGCUCAUUACUUGCUUACUUCUUAUUUAUGUUUGAUUUUAUUUCUAUUAUUAGUUGAUACACUUCACUCUUCACCUUGGCACAUUACUUAAGUAAUUCAAUUUUUAAAAUUUCAAAAAGACCCAAUUCACCCCUUCUCUUGGGCUCCAUAUCUAGGCAACAAGUGGUAUCAGAGCCCAGUACUCUAAUUCUUGCUUGAUUUAACCAUCAAGCUAAAGAUCUAUGGCAGCCUAAUGUAGCACAUCCCUAUCCGAGGGGCAAUCCAUAAACCGACCUCCACUUUUCAAUGGGUCAAACUACACCUAUUGAAAAGCUCGGAUG
rnacentral:lncRNA from 1 species